CCGGCCGGAAAAGACGUGUGCGCAUCUCUUGCCACGACCUUCUAUGAGGGUAGCAGGUUCAGCUAUAUGAAAAGUUAUAAAUGUAUGAAGGCGGCAGAUGUGUCAUCAGAAUUGGAUAAAUGUAGGGGGUUAAAAUCUGAAUUUGAAAAUGCUUUGGACGAUUUAAGGGUUAAGCCUGUGCAAUUGAAACAUGCAACUAUGGCUUGUGUAACGGACUUAUCGUACCAGAAAAGCCUUGGCAGAUUUCUACGGAGCCUGAAAACGAUUGUGUUGACAGAGCAGACAAUGAUGGAUCAGAGUACAGGGGAAAGGUAGCUGUCACAGAAUCAGGACACAAAUGCCAGAAAUGGGACUCUCAAUCACCUAACAUACAUGGUGUAACACCAUCGAAGUACCCUAAUUCAGGACUGCAAGAGAAUUAUUGCAGAAAUCCAGACGGUGAACCAGGCGCCUGGUGUUAUAAUGCUGAGGGAACUAGUCCUCGAUUUGAGCUCUGUGCUAUACCUACAUGUGGUAAUUAACUGUGGUCAUCAGUUAGCCAGACAACUAAAAAGGAGCUGAUGUACAAGAAGUUCAAACGAAAAGGAUUAUACAAUUUAAAUUUAGUGACUGAAAUUUGCAGCAACUGGACUGUUUAAGUUUUUUUUGAACUUCAUUGUUUUCAUAUUAUAAAGUCUUUAUGCAUAUAAUUUUUUGGAGCAUCAAACGUCUUUAAAUCAGGAUAUACGCAUAUUAUUAUUAUAUAUGUUUACUAGUAUGUUAUUUAAUAAAGGGAUAUACUCGUAAAAUAUUUAUUUCAAAUAUUCAAGAACGUCGACGAUUUCAACUCGGCGCGUUUUGGUAAUAGUAGAUUAUAAACCUAAAAGUACAA